rnacentral:lncRNA from 1 species
UCUAGGCAUUCCAAUCCAAGAUUUUUCCAUUGGAAGGGUCUGAUAUAUAACCUUUCAGAACUGAAACUGAUCCACAAUCAGAUUAGUGUGUCCCCGAUAAGGACUUCUCCGAGCAAGAGUAUUUACUAUAACCUACAAUAUUUCCAUGAGAAAGGAUGAUUUAGUAAGCUAUCAAUGCGAUAACAUUAUAAAAUUUUGUAAGAUAAUAAAAAGUGAAGUUAAAGUUCUGAUAAUUAUAUAGGAUGGCAGUUUACUGAUAUUUUAUAAGAGAAUUAUGGCUCUCUAGUAUAUGCAGCAAAAUAAUAUUACCUAGUUUACUUUAGUGUUGGAAUCAAGACAGAGUUUAGAACAAAGAUAAUACAAACAUUCCUAAAGAAGAUAAUAAAAGCAAGCAAGCACUUCAUUAUCUAUGUAAAGCAAGCAAGCACCUCAUUAUCUAUGUAAAGCAAGCAAGCUUCAUUAUCUAGGUGGAGCUGGCCCUGCUCCAACACUAUAAAAGUUGGAACUAUUAUUUUUUACUUUAUUUUGAUAUGAAACGGCAAAGAAGAGAACAAACAACUCAAGCAUUAAAGAAAGGAGGAAAUAAGAUCGUCAAAUUAUAAAUAGGAGUAACGAUAAGUAUAAAAUAUUAGCUUUGCCGAACAACACAUAUACAAAAGCACUAAUUGUACACACACUCUUAAUGACCAAUGUUAUAAGAAUAGUCAAUUCUAUAAGAAUCAGUGAGAAUGUCGCAAGGUACUCAAUUCAUAGAUUAUAGCAGAACGCGUACAAAAUAAAAAUUACUAUAGCAAAUUCCUUGAUAAGUUCUAACACGACAAAAUUGGAAUUUCCCAAAGCCAGAGAAAGAAAAUAGGAAUUUGUUUAAUUACAUAUAUUGUUCCUUAUAAUUUUUACAACAAUGAAAUAAUAGCUCCAACCAACAGUUAAAGUUAUCCAGUACAAAAAUAUCACAGAUCAGAAGUGAGGUAAAAUGAGAGUCUCCUCCCAAGAUUGUGCAGAAACAAAAGAGAAAUCUCUAUUCCUACCUGUAAUAUUUGACGCAACAAUGUGCCAAUCAAUGAGGUAGCUGAAAGAUUUUACCUGGAGCAGCUCAAACUGAUAGAAAUUCGAUAGAAUAUCAACAUAUUAUGGAUAUAUUAGAAGCUUCUAAUAUAUUUCCUCAUCACUUGACAAAUAAAAUAGAAAAUAUGUUAUUGAUUCAUUAGCCUUUUGAAAGAAAGCGGAAUUGAUGUUGAGGAAACCUAAUCUAUUGUCUGCACAUUUUGUAUUACAAACCUAGAAAGAAAGAAAAUAAUAUUCAAUACUACGAAGAAAACUAAAAAUUUGUUUGUACCUUGAGAUUGAUUCCUGUUUUAGAACAUUAUGCAGAGCAGAAAGAGGAAUAGCAGCUAGUGACAAUUGCGUCUUCUCUGAAGGUCCUCAGGAGUUCUAAAAUACACAUGCAAGAUGAAAUAUUUCAAUUAAGUAGAUCCAAAAUCGCAUAAAUUAACCUACAAAAAUACUGAAAAAGCUAAAUUUUACAACCUAAAAUACCUAAUGUAGAAGGAGAAAGAGGACUUACAUCUCGAAUUCAAUAGAGUGUUAUAUCCUUCUUUAAAAUACACCGAUUCAACCAAAAUUUCUGUUACUUUCAGUAGAGAAUCAAAAAACAGAAAAGCCACAAAAUAGAGGAAAAAUCAGUAAAGGAAAAACACAAAUUAACAGAGGAAAUAAACCUAAAACCCACAUGCAAGAAGAAAGAAACACAGAAAAGGAAAGUCAAAUAAUGGGGAAGAGAAAUUACCAUAGACAUGAACCCACAAUCCACAUCGCUCAAAAUCAAAGAAUGGGGAAGAAAGCAAAAAAAUUGCAUCUCUUUCAUCACGAAGAAAGGAAUUACCAUACAAAAAAUAUUUUGUGAAUCUCUUUCAGUUUUUUUAUUCUUCAAGUGAGGGUUUUUAAUUUUUCAAGUGGAAGAAAAUGGAAGCUGAAAAGCUUCUCUUUCGUGAAAGUGAGGGAGGGGUUUGGGAAAAAGAAAUAGGGAAAUGAUCAAGAAAGAGGAAACUAUUGACCGCCGCAAAUAUAAUAUUUUUAUGGGGUUGUAUAAAACCCCCAAUUUGAUAUAAAUUGCAGAG